UUCCUGAUUCAUAUCCUCUUUUCUUCUUAUCUUUUCCUUCCAUCUAUUAAACAGGUCAAAUUAUCUAUUUCUUCCUUGUGCAUACUUUUAUCUUUCAUUCUUCUAAUCUGGUUUGCUAAUUAAACCUCAACUAUUUUUAGUUGAUUUUUUUCUCUGUUAACAUAAAAUUCUGCCUUUUGAAUUCUGUUUGAUAUCAUAGCUAAUGUUCUGUUUCAGAAUUCCGUCUAUGCAAAUCGAUUCUAAUUGUCCUAUUCUCUGUCAACUUCUUCAAAGUUCUGUCUUUUGUACUGAUUUUGCAAAUCUGAGUAUAGGACAUUAUUCUGAUUUUUUAUUGAAUGAUUUCUGUUAACUUUGUUAGUCUCAGUCGCUGGUCAUUCAUUAAUAGUUGCUAUUCUGAAUCUUCUGGUACAUCCAAUCGAAUUUGGGAUUCUGGACUUCUAAUCUGGAAUCCUAAUCACAUUGGGAUUCUAUCAUAUUCCAGAAUCUGCCUGUCAGAUUCAGACCAAAAUUAACAGGAUUACCUAUGCAGUCAAGGUCAGCCUUCAACCAGAGUAUUCGGCCAGAUCAGACUCACUGAUGGUCUGGUUUUUUGACUCCUCUAAAAUUCUGGUUUAUUCCUACUUCCUAAUCCUGCAACGCUGGAAAAACUCUUGUUUUUCUAGACCCUAGGUGGUUAGAAUCCCAUUAUAUGGUAGCUUAACCUAGAGCUUACUUUUAUUGUACUCCAAGAAGAUAGGGACUUUCCUACUUAGUGUAGUUACUAAAUAACUACUAAGUAUCACGAAAUAUCUUUGAGGAUAUCCUUUAGAGUUUCAAAUAUAUUUAUUUGAAAAUAUGGAAAUUUCCCCAUAGUUGUGAAAAUUACACGAAGUCCACACCUAUCCCAAAAAGAAAAAAAAAAAGAAAAAAAUUACCUGAAGUCCAUCAAAAGGGAAAAAUUGAAUCUCUAUGAUACUUGAAGGACAAUUAUGGUUGAUCCUUUAAUUACCUAGAGUAGAAGUCAGUUGAUGUCUCUGUGGGUUGGAUUGAUCCUCUUUGUCUUCGUAUGUUUUUUUUUUUUAAUUCCUUUUUUAUUAAUUUCCCUGGGGUAUUUGGAUCUAGUUACUUCACUGAAGUAUCAUUUUUGUUCUCUUUAGAUGUUCCCUCUUUCUCUUGCACUUGAGUGCAGACACACACACUAACCUGUUCCCAAGGAGUUCUCCUGCGCAACUUCAAACCCUAAGAUUUCAAUGGUGGACGAUUAAAACUACUUCACUGAAAAGUCCCAUGAUUUAAUGACUUUGUUUUGGGUAGCUAAUUAUGGAAGUUGACCAGACUUAAAUCUUGGGUCCUGCCCGGGGUCAGUCAUUCAACUAAUUUAUUUGUGGACUUUAAACUAAGCCAGUCAUACGGUCCAAAUACUUCUGUAUUGUAUUUGGUUUCAGAUGUCAGGUGAAAAUGGCUUAACCCACUGAAACAUAUUGAUCGAGAAGUUCAGGGUAUUGGGUAAUAUUGUUUGAACAGCUAUUUCAACCAAAAUAUUACACAGCUUGCUUUAAAUGGUUUUGGGCUAUUUAUCUUCAGCCAAAACUAAAUGGGCUGCCUCAAUUCUUCUAAACUUAAUAUACUCCGGUUUCUUACUUGGUUGUCCAUUUUGUGAUAAUUUUCUCUAUUGUCAUAUACUCAUGGUAAGUCUCAACUCUUAACACAUUUGCCACCUGUCUAUAUAAAGCCUAAAAAAAAAUGGUUGAAAAGUCAACUUUGUACAAUAUGGUAUGAUGGCUAACGACAUAAAGGGUAAACGUCAAUAAAGAGUGAACCAUAACCAAAAAAAUUCUAGGAAAAUUUGGUCAGAAAUAUUCUAAAUGGUGGAAUUUCAUUUUUCUUUCUUGGAGCAAACUGGAAGAGGUAGUGAAGCUAGUAUAAGCUUAAUGUAAACGGCUGCUUGUUUGGAAAUCCAGGUAUUUCAGGAGGAGGUACAUUCAGAGACUCCCACAGUAUCCCUAUGUCUGCUUUGCUCAGUUUUUAGGAAUCAAAACAAACUUUAGUGCAGAAUUUCUUGCAUUCUUGACUGGUUUAAGUAUUGCAAAGGAGAAGCAUUACUCCAAGCUUUGGAUUGAAUGUGACACUCAAGCGGUAUAACUUCAAAAGAAGUAGGCCAUUUCUAGGAUUUCCAUGCAGCAGUGGUUAUUUCUCAAAAAUUACUUCCCUUUGAUCACUUGGAGAAUUAGUCAUUGUGUUCUCUUUGCAGAUCUUUUGGCUAAAAAAGGACCCACUUCUUUGGAACUUCUUUUUUGGUCUUCUCAUCUAGAUUUUGUUAGUCGUGAUGUAUCUUGAGAUGUACAGAAUAGGCCUAGAUAUUGAUUUGUAACCUGAUAGCUUAAAGCUGUUCCUUUGUACGACUGGGGAGUCUGCUGUUGGCUAUGCCAGAGGUGGCCUCUUCUUUUACCCAAAAAUAAAAUAAAAAAAAAAGGGAGGUAGCCUCUUCAGUCAUUUAGUUAGUCUUGGAUUUUGCCAAUGGCAAUGCCAAAGGUGGAGGUCCAAGUAUAAUCUGUCUUUGUUUUGCAGUAUGGAUAUGCCCAGACUAUAAUCUUGUACAUCAUUUUACCAUUUUAAUUCAUUCAUUUGCUGAUCCAUAGCCAGAAGCAGACUUUACCAGACUACUAGUGCUUGUCAAGUAAUCAUGAUUAAUGGAUCUGUAGAAACGCAACCCUAAAACGAUACAGAAGAUAAUGGAAAAACAGAACAAACAAUGCACACAAAUUUACGAGGUUCAGCAAGGUUGCCUACGUGCUUAGUGAGAUGAGAUCCUGCUUCACUAUCAAUGGAGAAUAGGGUUAUAGCGCUCGUCCCUCACACCUCUCAGUAUUACUUGCAUUUCAGAAAAAUAUUAGCAGGAUUGUCGUCCUGCCUAUUGAGGCACUGUACCAGUACUGUAUGGAUUAAACUGUGAUGGAAUAGAAGACAUCGUACACCAACAGGAUCUCCACUCAUACAUGUUUUAUCUUUUCCUUUUUUCAACCUUUUUACUCCUUAAUGUAUCACCUGGUAUGUCUCGCCUUCUUUUAGUAAGAUAGUAGUUCUUUGGGUUUUUGGAUCAAUAGAUCUUCUCUGAUGCCUCACCCUGCAAGUUCCAAAUAUAUUAGGUCUAAUUGUGUACUCAAGUGCAAUAAUUUGAAGGUGGAGCUUAGAAGGUCUCUAAAUCUUUUGAAUCACGAGGAACCGUUUUUCUUUUAUGUUGCAGUAGCCCUUUUGUGGUUAUUCAUUGCAGGGCUUUCUGACUUGAAGUUGGUUUUAUAUUGUUUUAAUUUUUCUGCAGAAGAUGGAAAAGGAAGGAUCUCAAGAUCAAAACCAGUGAGGAGUUUCGUCAUGUAGCAUCAACUCUUGGUUUUUGUUGUGUUCUCAAUUUUGUGAUGUAAUCUGAUAUCUACUUUUUAUUUGUUCCGACUUAGAGUCAAUGAGAUAUGCUGGGAACGCAUGGCUGUGUAGCACGUAAAAUAUUUUUUUACAGAGAUACUGAUUCAUAAUAUUUCAGAUUUAAUGAGAUCUGUGAAAACUGAAAUAUGGUUUUCAAAGAUUGGUCUUUCUUCA